rnacentral:rRNA from 1 species
UACGAAGGGCGUAGCGUUGUUCGGAAUUACUGGGCGUAAGCGCACGUAGGCGGGUGGUUAAGUUAGGGUGAAUACCCGGACGCUCAACUCCGGAACUGCCUUUGUAUACUGGCCAUCUAGAGAUCGGAAGAGGUGAGUGGAAUUCCCAGUGUAGAGGUGAAAUUCGUAGAUAUUGGGAAGAACACCGGUGGCGAAGGCGGCUCACUGGUCCGAUACUGACGCUGAGGUGCGAAAGCGUGGGGAGCAAACAGGAUUAGAAA